AAAUCUUCUGCCAAGCUGCCCUACACCUGCACACCAGCUGAGUUGCAGGAAAAGGAAAAGCAAGAUGGAUUAAGUGGGAUUUUUGUCUGGGCUCCUUAAUGAGACUAAAGGCUUUUCUUCCUUCAGUGUUUGGUCUUGUGUAAUAAAUUGAUGCCAACUCCUUUAGGAGUGACAUGACUCAUCCUUAACUUUUUAUAAACUGAUCUGAUUAUCUGUCAUGACCUCUCUCUGUCAUAUUCUGGAAUCGCCUUUUGAGAGUUUUCUUCUGUAGAAAAAGUUUAGGGCUUAAUGAGACGAUCAGCAUGGCAUGCCAACCCUCUGGCAGGGUUUCUCAGGGAGGCACCUGCUGCUCCCCAAAUUAGCAGGAAGCAGAAGCAGUGAGGAGACAUUACUGUGUGGCUGCUUCAAGGGUCACCUGGCUUUCAACGUUUCAAACCAGAUGUGUUCUCUCAAGAUGGCAGCAGCAGACCUCAUUCUAGAGCCUGUCCUCGCCAAAAACAGGGAUCUGGUUAACCUUAUCUGAGGGUGCCUAGUGCCCACUCAAAAAGCCUGUGACUACUAUCAGGGCCAGUGCCAAUUGUACACUUUUAUGAGACCUUUUUCCAAAGGCUUAAAGUGUUUUACCAAUAUUAACUCAUCAGGAGUCAUGGCAACCCUCGAGUAGAAAACUGGCAAAUAUUGGUUCAGGUGGGAGAAAUUGUGGGAUGGGAUUGAGAAGAAUCAAGUACUCUGCUAAGAGUGAGGCAGUGGGAGUGCUCCCAUGCCCCACACUGCCACCCCUUAGGUAAUUUAUCCCUUUCAGGGCUUCUUCCAGUUCUGCCUAGGCUAGAUGAACCUGCUUUUUUUUUUGUCUCAAUCAAAGGGUUUUGAAAAAUAAGCACUGCUGUUAAUAAGGCAAAGCCUGAAGCUGUCAAAGGAAAACAAGAACAAUUUUAUACAAAGACACAAAGAACUGUCCUCUUAAGAGUUUUGAUAAAAGAAUGAUUUAUGUAUGCAGUAUCUGCUUCUAUGACUGACACAAAGUACAAGGUUCAAUCUUUCUGUACCUCAACUUUCUCAUCUAUACAAGCCAAAAAAAAAAAACCAUUUAGAAUAUCUCCAGAGAUGUUUUGAAAUUUUAGUAAUAAAUGUUUUGAAUUGCACAGAGAUCUUUGAAGGAGGAUCUCUGAAGUGUUGAAAAGUGCCCUGUCUUAUAGUAUGUUAUAGUUCUAGAGGAAAGUCCUUUAAUUACUGGUAUAUAUGUUAGGAAAUAAGGAUAAAUUCAUGCGGUUUCAAGUGAUUUUUAAAAAUAAAAGCUGCUAUAAUUACAAAAAAAAAUCAUCUUUAUCUUGCAGAAACAUUUUUUUAAAAGUGGUAGAGGCAGGUUCUUCCAUAGUAUAUGGCAUCCACAGAUAACACACUAAUAAAGAUGGCUACUUUUCCCAAUUUCUCUUUGACUUCAUCAAAAAGGAAUUAAACAUGAAAAAAUACUAAAAGAACCAUUCUCAUUCAAUCAUAGAUUGAAUGAAGAUAGAAAAGCACAGCUCUUAGGUUCAACUACUGAGUUAAGCUAUAAAAGUCUGUUCAGUGUAAGCUCACAUUGAGUUUUGAGCCUUAAUUUCCUUGACUAUUUUUUAAAAAGAUAAUUUUACAA
rnacentral:lncRNA from 1 species